rnacentral:ncRNA from 1 species
CAAAGGUAUGGUCCCGACCUUUCCAUCAGCCUUAACCCAACUUACACAUGCAAGUCUCCGCAACCCUGUGAGUACCCCUCAAUCCCCCAAUUCGGGGAUAAGGAAUAGGUAUCAGGAACAAAAAUUUUAGCCCAAGACACCUAGCCAAGCCACACCCCUAAGGGAACCCAGCAGUGAUAAACAUUAAGCCAUGGGUGAAAACCCGACUUAGUUAAAGUUAAGAGGGCCGGUAAAAUUCGUGCCAGCAACCGCGGUUAAACGAAUAGCCCCAGUUGAUAGCGAUACGGCGUAAAGGGUGGUUAAGGAAAAUAAUAAUAAAGUUAAAUAACCCUUCGGCUGUCAUACGCUUCUAGGAGUCCGAGACCCAAACACGAAAGUUACUUUAAUAAAAUUACCUGACCCCACGAAAGCUGAGAAACAAACUGGGAUUAGAUACCCCACUAUGCUCAGCCAUAAACCAAGACAUAUUUGUACAAUAGUGUCCGCCAGGGUAUUACGAGCACCAGCUUAAAACCCAAAGGACCUGACGGUGCCUUAGACCCCCCUAGAGGAGCCUGUUCUAGAACCGAUAAUCCCCGUUAAACCUCACCAUUUCUGGCCAACCCAGCCUAUAUACCGCCGUCGCCAGCUUACCCUAUGAAGGUAUAAAAGUAAGCAAAAGGAGUACCACCCAAAACGUCAGGUCGAGGUGUAGCGAACGAAAUGGGAAGAAAUGGGCUACAUUUUCUAAAUUAGAAUAUCACGGAUACGCAAUAUGAAAUUAUUGCUUAAAGGAGGAUUUAGUAGUAAAAAGGAAACAGAGUGUCCCUUUGAACCCGGCCCUGAGGCGCGUACACACCGCCCGUCACUCUCCCCCGUCAUAAUGCGUAUUAAUACUACUUAACACAAAAACACCGACAAGGGGAGGCAAGUCGUAACAAGGUAAGUGUACCGGAAGGUGCACUUGGACAAAUA